rnacentral:rRNA from 1 species
GAACUGAAGAGUUUGAUCCUGGCUCAGAUUGAACGCUGGCGGCAUGCCUUACACAUGCAAGUCGAACGGCAGCACGGACUUCGGUCUGGUGGCGA